rnacentral:rRNA from 1 species
AUUGAACGCUGGCGGCAGGCCUAACACAUGCAAGUCGAGCGGAUGAAGGGAGCUUGCUCCUGGAUUCAGCGGCGGACGGGUGAGUAAUGCCUAGGAAUCUGCCUGGUAGUGGGGGAUAACGUCCGGAAACGGGCGCUAAUACCGCAUACGUCCUGAGGGAGAAAGUGGGGGAUCUUCGGACCUCACGCUAUCAGAUGAGUCUAGGUCGGAUUAGCUAGUUGGUGGGGUAAAGGCCUACCAAGGCGACGAUCCGUAACUGGUCUGAGAGGAUGAUCAGUCACACUGGAGCUGAGACACGGUCCAGGCUCCUACGGGAGGCAGCAGUGGGGAAUAUUGGACAAUGGGCGAAAGCCUGAUCCAGCCAUGCCGCGUGUGUGAAGAAGGUCUUCGGAUUGUAAAGCACUUUAAGUUGGGAGGAAGGGCAGUAAGUUAAUACCUUGCUGUUUUGACGUUACCAACAGAAUAAGCACCGGCUAACUUCGUG